GGUCAAGCUACAAAGGGCUGACGGU
rnacentral:rRNA from 1 species